rnacentral:rRNA from 1 species
UUUUAUUGGAGUAGCACCCAAAAUAUUGGGACAUAUAAAAAAAGAAAAAAAAGAAUAAGUACACUUGAGUAUAACAAUGGCUGGGUGAGGCCGGUAUAAAUUUCUAUUCUGCACAAGGUACAGACAAGUCUGGUGGGAUCCAUGCCUGGUUCAUUUUAAUAAAUGUGAGCUUGUCCAUGUUGGCCGUGGACAAGCGGCUGCGCUUGUCUGUGAUAAACUUGUGCCGAUCGCAUGUCCCCGUGAUGGCGACAACUCAUUCGGAUGUCUGUCCUAUCAACUUUCGAUGCUAUUUUCCAUGCCUACCAUGGUGACCACGGGUAACGGGGAAUCAGGUUUCGAUUCCAGAGAGUGAGCCUGAGAAACGGCUACCAUAUGCAAGGAAGGCAGCAGGCGCACAAAUUACCCACUCCCGACGAGGGGAGGUAGUGACGACAAAUAACAAUACACUACCCUUUCGAGGCCCUGUAAUUGUAAUGAGUCUAUGCUGAAGCUGCAUCAAAGUCCUGGUA